rnacentral:tRNA from 1 species
GCCGAAGUGGCGAAAUGGCAGACGCGCUACGUUCAGGGCGUAGUGGGGGUUCCUCCGUGUGGGUUCGAAUCCCACCUUCGGCACCA